ensembl:lncRNA
AUGAAGCUCCUGGCACUCUAUGGCUUUUUGUUUGUCUUACUUUUGUGCCUCAGUGCCUUUACUGCAGAAGGUCGGAAGGUUAAAAAAGUCUGCUGUUCAAAACUAGCCAAAGUCAACAAAAAGGCAACUAAAGGUGUGCCUUCCAAGACGGCUCCAGUGCAAACAAGGAAACACUGCAAGCCUUGUGCUCAGCCAGACCCUCUGCGAAUUCCUGGACCCCUUCCGCGGUUAAAAUAAGACUGAGCGGGGUGAAGAAGAGCAUCUGCCUGCCAGCACAUCUCACAGUGCUUCACUUGGUUGAGGGUCUUCCUUUUACAGAUAGGGCCUGAAUGUAUGCUAUUCUUCUUUUAGUUGGGAGGGGCUUCAGUGAAUAAUGCUUACUCAGUCCCCCAGGCUCCUUCAUCCUGUUAACAUUAACCUGCCAUCUAAAGGGACAGGUAAAGCUGUCUGGCUGCUACUGGAUUUUUUCAGUUGCAUAUUCCUCUACCAAACAGGGAUUUAGCUCCCCAAACAAGACAGAUGAGAGCUGGCUGUAUUGCUUUGGACUGCAUUUUUAGAUGGGGAAGGGCUGAAGUUACUGUCUCUAGUUAUCAGUGUAUAUAUAUAUUUAACCUUUUAUAUGAAUAACUUCUUAUAAAUAGAUAAAUGGAUUUUCUUUGUAGCUAGGCACAUGAUGAAUUUGUUCCUGCAACAUUUGCUCUUAGUGCUUAAAAUCCACUUGGAAGUGGAUUUCUAUCAAGUGAGAAAGAACUUAUGAUUUAGAAAGGGUUGAGAAACUAGAUUCCAAUAGUUGGGAAGGACCAGAGGACCAGAUUCAAGUACAGUGGCAAGCAUUUUAAUGUCUGGGGUUGGGGAGGGAAAAACACCUGUUCUUUAACUUCCCAGAAGAAUGUCAUUAGCCGGUUAUUAAAAAGUAUUCUGGAAAGGUGUAAGGCUAAUCAGAUUAUUUUUUUUUUUUUCCUCCUGAAGCCAGAAGGCAAUUGUUUUUACAAGGCACUUGAGUUGUGUGAUCAUGCUGAUAAACAAAACUCACUGGAGUAUGAAAUUAAACAAAUGUUAAGAAUAAUACCAAAGGGCUGAAUAAAAGAGAAACAGAAAUACUCCCUGCUAAUACCAUUAACAGUCACUGGGAUCUUUUCUCUGGUGUCUCCUGUCCUUUUUCUAGCUGUCUCCUGCAUAUGCUGCUAUUUCUGUGCCCAGGGUGAGUCCUUAAGCCAGAAUUAAUUGGAGGUUUAUGAAUUUGGCUUUCCUUCUAAUGAAUGUGACAAGGUGUGGAAAGCUUUUUCUGCUCUUGGGCAAAUAGCACUUUGAAAAUAGUAAUUUUACUCUCAAUACUCAGAGUAAUGCUAUUUCCCUAAGGUAAUUUCCUGUAUGAUAAAGAUGGUCUCAGUGCCCUUUAGUAAUCUGGGGGAGUUGAAUGGGGAUGGUCAUAUGCCUGUUGUAACCACCUUCAGGUAAAUGUGUUUCCUGUGAGUCAAAUUAAUGGGCACUUACAUUUGGCUGUGCUUUCUCAUGGUCAGUGUUUCAAUUGUUCAGUACAAUAGAAGCAAUUUCUAGAACUCCUACGUGCUUGUUAUUACUUUAUUUUCUUACUGCUCUUGUGAUUAGGUAGAUCUGACCCUCAUCUUCCUAGUUUUGAGCUGACCAUGCACAGCAUUUUCAUAUCAAGACUAAAAAGGAUCCUCCAAUCCUCACAGGAUCUUAGCCAAGAGGUUGGUGAAUGAGCUGUUUUAUAAUUCUGCUACCAAUCUUUGGGCAAAC